CAUGUUUGGUCUUUUCUGGGGUGGCCUUCUAUAUGAACAACGAGAUGGAAACACAGGCAAAAUCUUAGUUUGUGAUAAUUUGAUACACUGGACAUCACCACACUCAGCAUUCUGCCUGAAAAGCCAAAAUGGGACAUGGCUCAACCCCCCGCACACACUCACUGUUCUAUUUUCAGCCUCGGGACCCUUGUCACCCCCUUCUGCCCCAACAACCCCUCCUCUGUAUCUCAUCGUUAAGCCCGAGCCAGUUAACAGCUGAGGCGGUGUGUCUUUUGACAAGUGGCAGUGGUUGGCCUGGGACUCUCCUCAGCUGUCGCCACAUAGAUGACUCCUCUGUUUGGAGCCAGACCAUGUGCUGAGAUCUUUCCAGGCUUUCUGGCCACAGCCUGCAUCCCAAGUGCCAGCAUCAGGCUUCCCCAUGAAAAUCAACAUCUGUAAAUUCAUUUAUUGCAAUGUUCUUAGCCUCAGUGCUCUGCAUGAAACUUUUAAAGCAAUAGGACAGCAUCAAUGUGUCUCAACGAGCUGACAAUGGUUUUACUAUAGAAGAUACCAUUAAAAUCAAAAUGUUCACCUUCCGUUCA